CGGCUGGAUCACCUCCUUUCU
rnacentral:ncRNA from 5 species